rnacentral:rRNA from 1 species
CACCGCCCGUCACACCAUGGAAGUUGAUUGCUCCAGAAGUGGCUGAGCUAACCCGCAAGGGAGGCAGGUCCCCAAGGAGUGAUCGGUAACUGGGGUG